GUGGGGAUUUCGACAUAAGAGGGUGGGCUGCCGGCUGCGCUACCGGCGGCGGCGGCGGCCUCUCUGAGGCGGCGACGUCCGCUUGAUGCAGAAGCCCUCCCGUACCGGCCUAGAGUUGCUUCCUGAGAGGAUGUGGCUAUGCAAGACGCCGCGACUACGCCUUUGGUGGCGGAGGAACUAGUUGAAGAUGAGGCUCUUGAUGUUCUCGAGCCGCGGUAACGGUCCCACCUAAGUAUCCUAAGCGUUACCUGUCUAUUGCCAACUACCGGUUCAACAGUGACUAGGUCUAUACUAAGAGUCCCUCCCAAGAUUCAACCAUAUAGUAGCGGAGCGUACCUUCCUCGGUAAACGUGGUGUAAACGAAGUUCACGAAAUACUUCUACUGCUGUACCAGCGGGAAUUGUUCGGAAGGCCAAACGUUCAAGACGGUUUUCCUUAGAAGGUCGUCGCGUGACAAGAUCGUGUCGAAGUCACCUUUCUCACCUUCUACGGGGGUAGUUCGACGAGAUUCUCUUUUUUACACGUCAAUGUAGGACAUGGACAAGUAGCUAAUCCUUCCCCGUGCAGUCCAGAUGACGAAACACGGUUCUGUUUCGAACGGUUUCAAGUUGAACGUAGAAUAAAACGUCUUCCACGACGUUUACGUCUCUUCUUUUCCCUACCUUGACUCCAACCGUUUCUUGCCUUUUAAAGUUUUAAGAUAGCUCGUAAUCAUUGACCAUAUGAACUUGUGCUACUCCUACACCAAUGAGUUGGGUAUCCUAACCAAGUAAUGGGACCUCAACGUCUCCCUGAAAUACACCGUACAAGGAGUCCCUUCGGUCGGUACUCGUUUCACACACAAGAACUCUCUGAACGCGUGGUUUUAGUUUGCGACCAGGUCCAACUUUAAGUAAGUCCUGCCGGAGUGGUUUAGGCUUAUGUGGAACGUAUGUAACCUGUGGGAGAACAACUACUAGGAGAGAUAACAUAACCACCCGUCGGAUUUAAAGUACUGGACCUUAGAUGAUCAUGCCUAUAAAGAAAACGUAUACUGCCUCCAAUACUCUCCGGAAAUGUCGGACAAGGGCCCCUGACACCCAUAGUGAACGUACGAGUAACCGACCAGGAGAGAGUAGGUUGGUGCUUAUUCACUGACAGACACCCCCAUUCACCGGCCUGCACGUCGUCCACUGACGUCUAGAUGUGCUUCUGUACCAGUACCCACAACAGAUCAGAGUAAAUGUUUUGCUAAGAAAGUAAUAUAGUCACGUGCUCCUUCGUUCGAAAACGUAAUAAAUAUUUUUCCCUUCUUCUUUUUUAGGGGUAGUUACCUCUCUUUGUCUCUUUCUAGUUGUGACGAAUAAAAACAGCUACGUCAAUAUCAGUACGUUCUUUAUGGAGUUAUAAAAGUUAGAUUGUAAUCUUAACAUUUAUAUUUGAGGUCAUAAAGUCAAACACAAGUCGAAGAUCAACAAGUGAAAUCCACUAGACCGACCGUCUUGCUUGAUACGUUAACUGACAAACUAGUAAAUAAGUAGGAAAGAAAGUAUCCUUACGACUGUACUAUAAAAAGAACAAUCAGGGAAAGGAAAAUCCAAGUGACUGGUUGUUUGCUAUUACUGACUUGUGGUCCACACACAAAGGCAAUGAAAAAAAAACCAACCGAUACGUCUACGACUUCUAUUGGCGGGGAGACGGCGUAUAGGAUGUUUGAGCUCUCCUCGCAACGCUAGGUGUUCAACUAUGAACUCGAGUAUUGAAAGGUAAACUUUCAUACACGUAGGUUACUCAACUCGUGAGUCAUUCUCAAGUGUCCAGUACAAAAUGUUCGGACACCUCUACCUCCGAUAACUUGCGAUUGCAGGCGUAUACUCCACAACUCACAUAGAAUGCCUGACAGUCUGACUCAAAAACGCACACCCCGUCGCACCUGUUAUGUCCUUUACCAUAACGACUCAAAUUUACCAGUGACCUGCGAAGACUCCCCCUUGGUACUCCUUGUAAACACAAUCUACUACCUUGUCUCAUUUGAAAAGUCCAGUGACGCAGACUUCUACGUACGUGUGUCGGUUUCCUACCUGAUUGACGACACGCACGCACACACGCGCACUCGCACACACAAGCACAGCAUAUAUACGUGUGUCGUUAGUUUUAAGUAAUCUUAAAACCGAUUCUAAUAGUAGACGUUCGUACAUUUGAUGAGGGAGGCAGGGUAAUAUAUUCUUGCAAAAAAUGUGGUGAUUACAGUUUAGUAUAAUACCCUACCUCCCUCAUCAUCUAAUGUUACAUGAUCAUAAGGCUUGGUUCAAAAAACAACAACAACGCAUACUUGUUCAAACUUACGCUAUCGGGUUAUCGGGACGAAAACUUAGCUCCUGGUAAGUCUAAACUAACGACUUUGAUCUUGCUUGUCUUUACUUAAGUAGAGACUUGUACUUAGACUAUGCCGCCUAAAUGGUCAUCGCAUAUGCCUCACUGCCUCAAUACUGGCCGGAAACACGGCUUGCGCACAAGCGUCGUCGUCUCAAUGUGCUUUGUGUGCUGUGGUCGUGUUCCCCUGACGCGCCGCUGUGGUAGGGAGGGAGGGAGGGAGAGAUGUGGUUACCUUCCGAGCGGCCGCUGCACAGAGGGGCUCCGGCUGCGCGAGGGGCUACCGAAGCAGCUCUCGAGGAGGCGGCUGGUCCGGGUCGGUCAGAGGAGGCGGGGGCGGAGGCGGCGGCCGCUAGGGGACGUAGGGCGGGAGCCGGGACUAGUGCUCCCGCGGCGGGCGCGGCUGCCGCUCCUUUGGGAUCCGCGAGGUAUGUGGGGGCGGCUGCGGCGGCUACGGGACGCCUCGGAGAGGUACCGGCGGCGGCGAAGCCUCGGCCUCGCACGGGGGCUCGUCGUCCCCGGGCGGCGUCUGUAUCCUCCACGGUUUCUACGUUACUUCCUCUCGAAACACCAUCUCGUUAGCCUUGGCGACCGGUUAGGUUUCCUAUCACCGCUCGGUUUCGCAUUCCAGCACUUCGCGUUGUCAUUCGAUCUCUUCCUGUCCCUCAACAACGUUGAACGGGUCUCCAUGGUACCUCACCAUCGCCUCUCCCUACGUCGGUAACGUCAAUUUCUUUUUAAUCUUAGAGAAACAUCUCUUAAAGUCGCAGUUUUGUUUUACAAUUUCCUUCUCACGGUUUCCCACAGUUGUCUCCCCGUCUUGAAAGCCUACCUCUACAGGCUGUUUAAGCUCUUACGAUACUUCCGACAGUCACAGUUCGAACUCCUCGUCUUUUUGCUUACGUAACGAGUCAAACUUCUCUUGUUAAGCGACUCUUUAUUUGAGUUUCUAGAACGACUAGUUAUAUUAUAGUAAGUCGUCUUUAUACGAGUAGUCGACUUUCUUUUCUGCGACCUUGAACUCGAACGACUAGACUUUUAAGUUGUCGUAGUUCGCUUUCGUCGAGUUCUUGUACGGGUUUACCAUAACAUACGACUCGUUCAAAGAGUUGAACAGUGAUGACUCUUCUUGGACGCCCACGUCGAUCGACGACUACCACUUUUUAAAGUCGUCAAAGUCCUACGGGACAGUUUUUCGUUACUUCACAAACUUUGAAUGUUCUUCCUCUACCUUGUCUACCACUUCCGCUAUUUUCUGAAGUCCUUCGUUUUACUUCGGGACUUCUUGUUCACACUCUUAAGUCUAUAACGAGAACACUUCGAGUAACUCCUCGCACUCCACUACUUCUUCGUUGAUCUGUUUAUAUUCUUAGUUUUCCUGUUUGAGCUCAGGGACACGGCCAGCGAUGUCCGUCUUUCCUUUGUUUCGGGUAGACAGUCAUAAGGAUUACUACGGAGAUUGGUUCUUCUACAAUGUUCAGUCUUUGUUUCGGGUAGAAGGUCAUAAGGACUACUGCGGAGAUUGGUUCUUCUACAAUGUUCAGUCGUCGGUCUCCAUAUCGCAAAACCACGAAGUACCACGUAUGGGAACCACGACGACGAGAGAUACCAUAUUGAGCCGCUCUAAAAGACUUAGGACCGUUUGCCUAUAUUCGCUAUGAAAAUGGGACGAAACGAACACUAAGAGACCCUCGACACCAUACACAUAUAGUGUGUGGGUUGGCUUUGAUAAACGGAUUUAUAGAGUAGCAAACUCGUUAAAGUCUCACCGAAACCAAAGAACCACGUUUCUCGACAACUCAAGCUCAAACAUUGGUCUGGUCGCAAUGUUAAACAAGGAAAAAGCACACUAACCUACCAUCUUGUAGUCAGAAAAUCUUUGUUUGGCUUACACACGUGACCACUUGACUAGUUGUAAGACACAAUUCGUUCAAAAUAUGAGUAUAAUCGCUCCUCACAAGACAGUUACACAAUUCAGUCAAAAUAUGAAUCAUGAGGGAGGCUAGGUAUUAUUCACAGCGUCGAAACUUGAUUCCAACCUAGCCCCCACAUGAAGUAUGCCUUCUUUAGUUCGUUAUAUAUGAGGACCAUAGGUCCCUC
rnacentral:rRNA from 1 species